GUCUCUUUCACUCGAUAACAGGCAGAUCCAGAUCUAAUGCAAAAUAUUGUAUUAAUAUUAACUAACAAACGAUUGUUAUUGAUAUUUUUAUUCUGUUAUGUGUUUAUUCCUGCCUUUAAUUGAGAGAUAUUGUUUCUUAUAUCUAAAAAUGCAUCAAAGCUGUGCAUCAUGUCUCUGCCUUCUAUACAUUAUACUAAUACAACAAAUACACAUAUUGGAC